rnacentral:rRNA from 1 species
UACGUAGGGUGCAAGCGUUGUCCGGAAUUAUUGGGCGUAAAGAGCUCGUAGGCGGUUUGUCGCGUCUGCUGUGAAAACGCGAGGCUCAACCUCGCGCCUGCAGUGGGUACGGGCAGACUAGAGUGCGGUAGGGGAGAUUGGAAUUCCUGGUGUAGCGGUGAAAUGCGCAGAUAUCAGGAGGAACACCCGUAGCGAAGGCGGCACUCUGGGCCGAUACUGACACUGAGGAGCGAAAGCGUGGGGAGCGAACAGG